rnacentral:sRNA from 1 species
AGGAGAAGGGUUUUUGCUGGCUAACAGUUUUGAUGAUUUUUUUUCCUGUGGUUUGUUUGUUUUUUACCUCGCUGCUUUCACUUGGGGUAAACGAGUAGACAAGGGCAGGUGGUGGUUGGUAGAAAAGACACAUUCAUGUCAGAGCAAAAGCCCCAAAGACUAGAAUUCUACAUACCCUGUGCAUCAUGCCCUGUGCCCUCUACCCCAUGUCUUUUCUUGCCCCCUUUAGUAACAUGGCAUGGGGAUGAAGCCUUGUACUCUUGGGUUUGGGUGGGGUACUCUAUACCAAGUCCUAUCACAUUUCAAGAGUGGGUGAGGUCCUGAAUGAAGGCUGCACAUGGAGUCAAUGGAUGUGCCAGGCUCUAGAGGAUCUAGAGAUGAGAGUCAGAGUUAAUGGGCAAAGGCUAAAUUAGAACUUGACUGUUCUGUAGAUGAGAUGUGAGCUAAACAUGAUGUGAACAUACAGAAAUGAAAUAUAUUAUUUUACCUAUUGUCACUAGAAUACUGCUAUACUCUUGUAAUUGAUUUAGCCUCUAUUUUUAACUAUUUGUUUUAAAACAAGACCCUUACUCACUAUGAAUCCAUUAUAGAAAGUAUUAGCUCAGUGAUUAUUUUCCCUACUAUACAUUUUUUGUUCUGUGUAUAUGCAUACAUGUUCACAUUCAUGGAUACCUGAGGUUGAUAUCAGCUGCUUUUUUCAAUGACUCUCCACCUUAUUUUUGAGAUAGGGUCUUUCACAGAUCAGUUAUGUUACCUGGACAGUAAGUCCCUGGGUCCUCCUGUCCCUGCCUUCUCAGUGCUGGGAUUGCAGGCACAUACACAAUUCAUGGGAUCUGAGGAUCAAACUUGAAUCCUUGUGCUUGUGUGGACAUCAGUCAAUGACCAGGCCAUCUCCCUAGAUCUCUGCUGCAUUUAGUGGAACCUGUACCCCUUCCACUGUAUUUAUUUUUAUAUCCUAAACAUUAUUAUUGGCUCAUAAUAUAUGUUCAGUAAAGAUUUAUUGAGUGACUAUAUAAAAUGAACACCAUUAUCUAAGAGAACAGGACAUGGAAGCUACUUAACUGUUAAUACUUAGAAUACUGUAGGUGAAGCACAUAUAUAUGGCCGCAUGGUGACUAAGCACUGUGAUGCUUUCGUUCACUUUUUAGGUGACACGCGAGCUCUGAGAUUUGGCUUGUCUAAGCAUUGGAACCAGGGUUUUAAUUCUUAAUGUUCUAGAUGUCUUUGCAAGACAAGGCGUUGCUAGGUCAUGAUGGAAAGCAAUCAUACUCUGGAUGGGAGCUGGCUCAGUGGGAAAAGUUUUUGCUGCACAAGCAUGAGGACUCCGGCUCCAUCCAUAAGACUUGCACAACAGGAAGGUAUGGUGGCACAUGCUUAUCAUCCCAGCACCCAGAGACAGAGACAAGAAGAUCCCUGGAGCCCUCCGGUAUGUCAGCCCAGUCUAAUUGGUGAACCUUAGCCCAGUGACAGACCUCGUCUCAAGAAAACAGAACAGUGCAUGGUACUGAAGGAUGUGUUCUGACUUCCACAUACACUGGCAUCUAUGUAGAGUUGCAUACUCUGCACAUACACGCACCACAGAGAUUAUACAUACAUUAUAUACAUGCAUCACAGAUACACAUCAUACCACACACUCAUACACACAUACACACUCACAUACACAUACCUCCCUACACACAUAUACCACACACAUGCAUACCAUGUCCAUUUACUACUCUCCCACCCCACACAAGAGUUAUAUUCUGUGAAGUCUUACUAUGUAGCCCAGCUUGGUCUUUCUACCUUUCUACCUCUGAAUGUUAACAAAAUAUAUAGGAUCGAGCCCCUAGCCCCAGCAUGAAAGUGUUUUCCUUUUAUUUUGGUGUCUAACUUUUGCGGCAGGUAUACUUCUAGACUCUGAGAAGUGGGGGAUGGAGAAGCACAGACUAUGAACUUGUUACUCAAAGGUAACAUAAUUUCUUUAUCUUAUCCUUAUGUCUGACACCACUGUCUACAUAAUCCAGAGAAGCAGAGCAGAAGUUAAGCCAGGUUUCCUCAGCCUAAAGCAGGAUGGAUUAGAGGCUGUAGCAAUAAAGUCAAAACACAAACAUGUUUUCACAUACGUGUUCAAUUACACUUAAGGCCCUGCUUAUUUCCCUUAGAACUUCUCAGUGUCUGUCCAAUAAGAAGGGGAGGUUGAUUUGGGAUAUGAAUUUUAUGAAUAUAUAACAAAGCUGACUGCUGGGAAGUACCAUUUUAAUAUAGAUAAUUUAUCUGUGAACCCAAUGUCGUUUUUAUUGAAGUCAUUUUUCUCCUUAUUGAGUUGAGGAUGAAUGUUCUCUACUGAAUUCUGUCAUCAUGGCCAGACCAAGUUCAUUAACAGGACGACACACCAUUAACCAACCACACAGAGUUGUGGGAGAUUGAUGCCACAGCCCUUCGGCCACCUGCUUCUCUGCCACCUGAAAGGAUGAGUUCUCAGAACUGCCACCCGGAAGGAGUGACUUUGGCAGGGACUAUGAGAGAAGAAAAUGAUGUUGUCUCUGGCUUUGGGACCUAACCAUUGCCCCAUAACUGCUGUUUUAUGUUCCUUAAAUUCAGAAAAGCAGGUGUCCUUCAGGCCUGGAGAGCCAGUCUACACUUUGCAAGUCUAGGCUAAAAUGAAGUUGUAAGUUAAAGCAAGCUAUACAAAGUGGAGGAAACAGAUUAACAUGUCUGAUUAUUCAUUACACCUUUGUGGAGCCCCUGCCAGACACUUGCUGUUUCCAGAGACUGAAUAGAGUUGGCUGUCUGGUGAAGGGGCUGUGUUGCCUCAGGCUCUGCCCUACAGCUGUUUGAUUUCCCUGUGAUUUUGAAACUAUCUCUCUAGAACUAUCAGGUAGGCAGGGACAUGGAUGCCCCAAGGACAUCAGUGUUCCGGGCUCACUUCUCUGCACACUGUCUCCUUUGUGAUCUGAAUUGGAUUGACUUGUGUUCAGAUCAUGUGUAUCUUUGGAAAGGGAGAACUUUUGAUGCAGGCUCCUGUGUACAGGUCACUAAAGAUAAAUGAGGACUUGUCUUAUUUCUAACUAGAAAAAUAUGUCUUCAUAUAUGCACCUAAAAGAACAUGUAAAACAAACCCCCCCCCACACACACACACAACACACAGGCAUGCACGCAUGCACCAAAGAGACAUGUUCUCCAUCCUCUCUUAACAAAUGGCAAAAUUCUAGUAGAUCUGGAGCUUUUUCUUACAUUAAAAUUUAAAUACAGACACUAAGAUGUUGAAUUGUUAUUUGAGACAGGGUUUCACUAUGUAGUUCUGACUGGUAUGGUACUUGAUAUAUUAGUCCAGGAUAGCCUUAAAUAGAGAUCUAUUUGACUCUGCCUCUUGAGUGUUGGGAUUAAGCGUGUAAGCUACAAUACUUGGAGGAUAUUGACUUUUUGAUACAGAUGUGUUUUUCUGGUUCUCUCACACAAUUCUUGCCCAUUCUUCCUUUCCACAUUACUCUGAGUGUGCCUUCUACCUGUCUGAAGCACAUAUCCACUGGCUUGGCCCGGUCUUUGCUUAGGUCCCUCAGGUCUAUUAUGCCACCUGCAGAUCUGGCAGAAAGCACCUUUAAUGCCUCACCAGGAGCACAGCUACUCAGUAGCUACAUAAAUAUCUCUAGUUCUGCUGUGUCAUUCUAUGAUGCCUUCCAGGGCGUCCUGGCUGGUUCUAUAUCGACCUUUUCUGGUGGCCCUUUCUUCUGGUCUUAAUCUGAUUCUUUCUUCUGACUCCUAUAAAAAGGACCUUCCACGGUCCCCCUUUUACAUAUCUCUGAAUCAAUCCUGAGAGGUAGGUGGGCAAGAUCUGGCAGUGGUGGUGAUAGGUUAUAGCUAUUGUCCUCCAGACUGAGGCCCCAGAGCUAAAGUACUCUUCAAUUUGUCCAAGAUUGAACAGCCAGGAAUGAACAUAACUGUAACUCUGGUCUUCGUUCUACACUCAACCUAGCAGAUUGUUGUCUUUCACAUGUAAGAAAGUUGUAAAGCUGUGGUUGUCUGAACAAUAUUGCUGAGAGUGACCCCUGAGGAUCCACCCCCUAAGGGACCACUGGUAAUGAAUGCACGUUGGGGCAUGAUGUGUCCUUUUCAUCAGUGGUGUAGCCAAUGAAGUGCUCUUGCUCCAGCAAAUGACCUUUCACUGAUCCCAUGCAAGAAACUUUAAAUAAACUCCAUGGGUCACACACCAAAAAGAAACUCCAGAAAACCAGAAACUCCAUGGGUUUCUGGCUCCUGUUGAGGGAGAAAGGAAAACGUGUCCCUUGUUUCCCUUUGUGUUGGUUUCUUAGUGGGUUUGCUUUAUAGGGUCUUAUUGGAUACACAUUAUGAAGAUAUAUUCUUCCUAGAUAAAGGCAAGAUAAAUCCCCAUUUAUCUCUAGCAACCAUGUGCAGGAGCCUGCAUCCAAAGAAACAUGUGAUCUGAACACAAGUCAAUCCAAUUCAGAUCACAAAGGAGACUGUGUGCAGAGAAGUGAGCCUGGAACACCGAUGUCCUCGAGGCAUCCACGUUCCUGCCUAGCUGAUAGUCAGAGUAGGAGAUGGAUUUAUUGAGAAGAAGAGUUUAGAGAGGGAUGGAAGCAGAUGAAAUAUGGAGAUGUGUGCCUGAGUGUGUGUGUGUGUGUGUGUGUGUGUGUGUGUGUGUAAAAUAACGUAAAUUUAUUAACUAGUUGUAUGAAACUGUCAAACAGCAAAAUGUUAGAAAUAAAUCUUUGUUGUUCCUCUUGCAGACCAUUUGCAUCAUUUGACCUUCACAAACUCAAUGUCAACCUGUCUCGGUGUGUAUAUCUAUGCCAUUCACCAGCUAAGACAGAUACUUGUAAACAGGCAGUCUUCUUUGAUUGUCCCAGCCCUCCCUGCAAAGUUUUCAAAGAUACAACAAACCGCUGUUCACUCUUACACAGGAUUGCUGUAAUUUAUUUUACCUGAGGGCAAAAUCUUAGCUAUUUAGGAAGUCUUAUAAAAAUCUCCAGAUGGCUUAAUUAUACUAUUUUAGGAACCAAGGACAUAAAAAUAAAAUGGAUAGAUAAGCACAACUCAGAAUCAUAGAGGAACAAAGAGCAAAAGUCAAAAAAAAUUAUCUGAGUCUUCAAAGAUGUGUGCUUCUGACUCAGGGUGAGACUCAAGCAACAGGAAGAACACGAAAUUCCUCCACCUGAUAAAGAACAGUUAACAUCAGAGCAUGGAGGAAAUCCCUCAGUCACCUUGAAUCCUGACUCUUCCACAAUCUAUAGACAAGUAACAGAAGACUGUUCUGCAAGCUGAGAAGUCACCCAGCAGUGAGGAGAGGCUUUAUUCUAAACGGACCUGGUGUUCUACAGAACCACAUGAGUCUAGGUAUGCAUGCUACACCAGGCUGCAUUUUAUUCUUUUAAAUAUUCUAAGGGCAGAAGCUAGUUUGAGGGUGAGAGGCCAGGGGCUGGGUUUUAUAAACCCAGCUUUAUUUAUUUUCAAUUAUGAACCCUUCCAGGUUGGAAAUAUCUCACAGAUGAUAAAGUGAGCAACAGAAAAUCACAGAAGUUUCUCAAAGUUACACAACUAACAGCAAUAAUCAGAGGAAGGACUGAACUUGUGUCUAAACUCACAACGUUUGUUAUCCUGAUUCUCUCAAGUCAAAUAAUGAGCAAGUGGUCAGGACUGAUGGCAAAGCUAUUUGGGGCUCUUCUUCUGGGGUCUUCGGUUAUUUUCUGUAUGAUCUCAUAUAAAUAUUUAAUAUAGCUGUGCCUGAAAGUCACAUAGAAAAAUCAGAUGUCCUCUUACAGUGAAAUGAACAUUAACAGGACAAUUAAUGACAAACCUCUGCUGUGUCCUAUGACAUAGGUACAAGAUGAGCAAAGGCCAGGUAGGAUUAUUUUAAUAUGACUUUCUUCAUAAAGAGCAAAUACUAUUUGAAAAUGGUUCUUGGAUUCUCAAAUACCACAGUACAUCUAAGCAGAACUUGAUUCUUUGAAGACACAGAAAGAAGUGUCUGAUCAAUGCUACUUUAAAAAGUUUGGAUGAAAAUGAUUCUAUAUUGGGGCAGCCCAUCUGACCCACUGGCCUCUGUCUGCUUUCUACCAGAAGAAAAAAUUUCAGGCUGAAUUGUAAGGUGGUUGCUUUUCUUACUGUCUUCUGAUUCAAGAACUUCAGAUGUAAAUUUUAGAUAUGUGUGUUUCAUUUGGAAUAUCCGUAGAGGUCAAAAAAUAAGGGUCCAAGGAGAAAGGGAGAUUGAAUGUGGUACUAUUAAGGGGUAUAAUGGGCAUCUCCAUAAAAUCUCUCUUUUCAGGGAUCAGGGAAGAAGAAGUGAAAGAAUGUAAGAUCCAGAGGUGAUGGAGGACUUUAUGGAAUCAAGGCCUUCUGGAUACAUAUAAAAACUCUGGACACAUAUAUAAACUCAAUUAGUACACCUCUCAAACUUCAACAGAGAAUCUUCUUUUUGCAGGAGAUAGCAACUAAUACAGGUACCUAUAAUUGGUCAAGGCACAGAGAAUGAGAAACGGUGGAUUGCUUAUUCCUAAAGGGGUCAUCAUACCAUAUCCCUCUUCCUAGGGCUCAGGGAUCAUUGUAAAAGAAGGGGCAGAAGAACUGUAAGAGCCAGAUUUGGUCGAUGACUCUUAGGAAAGCGUUUUGCAGACACAAGAGGGAGGUUGCAGAUGAGAACUUUCACCAGUUUUGACAACAUGCCCAAGUCCUACCCAAGCCAGACAAAAUCUCAGCAUGGAUGUAAGGGGUGGUCACAAAGCCCUACCCCUAGCUAAGCUCUAUGGGCAAUUGGCAGCUUCUGGAAGAGUCAGUUUUCUUUGAGGAUUGGCCCCUGAUAGUUUGGCAGGUUUCAGUGAAGGGCUCCAGACCUUUUGUGUUUGGGUAUCACAAAUUGGACUUGGUGGUUUUAAAAAUUAAGAAAAACAAGUACAAAGUUGGAUAAGUAGGGAGGAGGAUGAAUCUGGAAGGAGCUGAGGAAGUGAGGAAAAUGGUAUUCUCACAGAAUUAAUUUUUUUAAAGGGAAAGGAAAACUUUAUAUGAGUUGAGGUCAUCCUAUGUACAAGAUGCUGUUACUCAAGGGCUUUCAUUGCAUAUCCAGUGGGGCUUUUGUUUUUAACCCGGUCUUGCUAGUUCAUUUUGGUUGGUCUGAAAUUGCAUCAGACUUGGAGCAAUCCUCCUGCUUCUGCUUCUCUAGCUCGGGGGUUACAGGCCGGUGUCACCCAAGAGGAUUUUUGAAGUAAAUAUUUUGACACAACAUGUGAGAAGUGCCACAGUAAGGUGCAGAUUAAACACUGUGGGUGUACGGAGGCGGUGAAGAUUGUUUCAAGUAGGAAGACUUGGAAACAUUCAGGGGAAAGGUAGCAUUUGAUUGGUGCCUUAACACAAGAACAAAUUUAGACAUGUGGAGAUAACGAGAGAAGCAAUCUAGAAGGAAGCAAAACCAGGGAAAAUAUAAAAGAAAUUUAGUGGCGUUCAGUAAGCUAGAGGCUCUUGUGAAAGACAUUCAAAUGAACACAAAGGAAGAAGUUGGCUGGAAUCAGGGCCUGGGGAUCUCAAUAGCUGACUUGAAAGUGUGUGUGAGUUUUAUGCACAGAUUGAGAGGGACAACUGAAUAUGUUUAAGAAUGAUUGUAUCUGACCUGCCCUUUGACAAAUGACUCCAACCCUUUCCAAAAUGGCUGGGGUGGGGGGAUGCAGAGGGAACAUGAGGUGUUGGUUUAGGUAGGCACUGUGGAAUCCACAGCAGGUCUGAGCUAAGGUGCUGAAGGUGAAGAGGACAUGACAGUGGACAACUGGGGAAGAAUCAGCAGACUUCCAUCCCUGUUCAGACGUGUUUCCAGAAAUAAGGAGGUCCAUGGUUAGAAGGGAGCUGAGACCUUCAGAAGAAGCAGAAACAGAGGGUGUGGGGCUUCAGGAAUCACGGGAAAUAGUAAGUUUGAAGUUCAUUUUACACAGCCCCAAGCAGGUAUGUCCAGGAAGAGGGAAUGGUCCAGCAGAAGUGGGAAAGAAUCACCGUGCACAGUAUCUGAUGGAAGCCAUGAGCUUUUUUCUACAAUGAUUGGCUAGAGGGCCCCCAGCUUUACCCCGAGAAUUUAUUGGUGAGUUCUUCAUUCAUUCUUUCUUUGUAGACACUGCUUCAUUUGCAUUCAGUGACAUGCAUCUUUGUGUGGGGGACUCUGAGCUUUGUCUCCCUCUACAAGGUCACUGAUAGAUGCGGGAAACUAAAAUUUCUGUCACUCAAGUAGCUCUUCCUCAGGUAAAGAAGCAACCAGUGUUCAGAAGAGACCCCAUUCAGAGAGUGGGUGGUGUUCCUAGGAAGGGGUUGCUACUAGUAUUAUAUUUUAUAUAAAAUUUUAUAUUUUAUAUUUGCUCCACAGAGAUGAGGGAAAAAGUGAAAUUUUAAUAUAUUAAGAAUGUAUUGAGGGAAUAUAUUGAGGGAAUGUAAUUUUCUUUCUGAUUAUAUAGGUUUCUCUGUGUGUGUGUGUGUGUGUUUGUGUUUUAAUGUGUGUAUAUGUAUGUAUGAAAGCCAGAAGUCAGUCUUGGAUGUUGUUCACUUGGUUUAUUGAGAUGGGGUCUCUCACUAGAACCUGGACACAUCAAUUAGGCUAGGCUGACUAGCCAGCAAACCCAGGGUAUCUGCUUGUUUCCACCUCCCCAUCACUGGGAUUAUAAUCGCUUGCCAGCAGACCUGCCUCUUUAGAUGAGUGCUGAGGACUGAAGGAAGACCCUUGGAGUCUGCAUGACAAACACUUUAUUGAGCUCUCUCCCAGCUUCUUGAUUGCACAGCUUUUAAGUCUCCAAUACGCAGUAGCAUUGCAGGGCAAGGAAGUAGGACAUGCUUCCACUGCUUGACUUCAGCAAGACAUAAUUCAUCAAAAUGAAAGGGCUGUCUGCAUGAGAAGUAAUCCCUGACAGUUCCCUUCUUCGGAAAACUUGAAUGAAAUUAUCUCUGGCUCCAUCACUACUUCUGAGGCGCCAUAUCCAUGUCUACUUUACCAAGUCCGCAAACAAUUAGCUUUAUUUAUUGUCCCUAAUUUAAAGUACAAAAUGAGUCAUAUUAAAGUGAACAAACCACACGCAGUGAGAGCUGUGGAGGUGGAAUACUCCCCCACUUCCCUAAAAACUGUAAUGUCUACAGUUAUGAAACUAUAGCUUUUCAUUAACGAGUUGUGCUAUUACACAAUGGAUACACUGAUUAUCAUCCAUUAGUAGGUAACGAGCAACAACCGAAGCAUUGAAAAAUUGUAAUUAUGGUUAUUUAUCAUUGGCGAUAUAGUGAUAUUUAUGAUUCUAAUAAGUUAAAAGAUCAUUUUACACACAGAGGCAUAGAGACCCGUGAUGAAUGAUUGGGGCAUGUGAGUGGCUAUCUGACCACAGGAUUUUUUUAGUUCUCUGACUUGACUGUGAACCCGGAAGAGAGAAUGAAUAUGACUCAGUAAACAGGGCAAGAACCAGCUGCGUGUGAUGGGAUGCUGGUGUGGAGAGUUUCAGGCACCAUGCAUGCCUUAUAAUUUAUAGGAACCUGUGGUGUGGACUUUCUCAAGAGCAGCUGCAUGGAAAGCUGUCUCUUGUUUUCCCCUCUGCCUGGUGUGAACUUAGCAUGAGAAGACAUACAUAAGAUACACUGUGGUUGCUGCAAAGCCGCAAUCCCCAGGCUGUUGGCAUCUUGUGUGAGUAACUUUAUCAGCGGAGAAGGGCAAAGAACAAACGAGCAUUUUGUAUCAGAAUUGUGCUGGUGUUUUGCUCUCACGGGCAAGCAGACUGGUUAAGUUUCCUCCUCAGGCAAGGGUAUAUGUCCUGCUGUAUCCCAAACUGACAAAUCAUAUACCAAAAGAGAGAUUAAUUUUAUUUUUAAUCACAACAACCUAUGAGCUUCAGUACACGUUGGCUGGGGCAGAGAAAAAGAAAGCAUCAAUAUUUUCACUGUGCAGUCACUACUGCUAUACCCUCCAUGGUCUGUCUCCAUAUUUCCUAUUUAGCUCAGGCCCAAGAGACCAAGAUUUUUCCACUUUGAAGCCUUCAUCUUCAAAUACUUCAAGGCUCUGGAGCCUUAGAGGCACAGACACUGAUUCAUUACUCUUCUGCCUUACGCACUACCCUUCGCGAUUUCACAUCAGAAUGGCACCAGCUGUCAUAUUUUGAGGGAGGCUAGAGUUGGGAUUUACCAAGUCUAUCUUGGUUUAGCCUGGGUGUCUAAAGUUUGUGUUGUCUGUUUGUCCUAGCUAGAUACCCUCUGGGCCUCCAUUCCUGUGCUUGUUAAGGAGUCAAAGGCAGAAGGGCACACCCCACAGUCAGGCAGAGCCUUGUGUUUUGAACCUCUGCAUCGAGACAUGUACUUUUCCUGAAGCAGCAUACUCCCCCUGCUUAUUAAAAAGUCUAAACCACCACAACCAAGUCUCACCUUCUGAUGAUGCAGAAUAAGUCAUUGUCUCAAUUAAACUGCUUCCAGCACUGGUGAUAUGCUGUAGUGAAUGACAGUUAAAUAGUCUAUAUUUUCAUUUUACCUAAAAACAUCUUCUAGGGAGGCCGGAAGCUGUGCAUGCCAGGAACCUGGGAUAGACUUGCUUUUUAUUUCCAUAUCAGUUUCAUUAGGUUGAGUAUACUAGGAAGGCUUUAGCAUUAAGUCAUAACAGUUAAUUCUUAAUAAAACCCAAAUUAGUAAAGUCAAGGGGGAUGAAUUAUAUUUAAGUGGCUUUGACUUAAACUUUUAAUUUGACUUGCAGCAGCUGGAUUUCGAGUUUCUCUUUCAUAUUCUGUCUUCCCUGGUUUCAGUCACAUCUAUCCACAUAUUAUCAUCUGUUACCCAUAUAUCAUCUGCCAACCAUCCAUCCAUCAUCCAUCACCUAGUCAUCAAUGCAGCAUGCAAGCAAGUAUUCCACUAUCUAUCCAUCUAUCCAGCCAGCAUCUAUGCAUCCAACUAUUCAUCAUUUGUUAUCCAUCCAUCAUCUAUUCACCCAUCUGGCAUGUGUGCAUGUAUGCAUGCAUCCAUCCAGCACCCAUGCAUCUAUUAAUCAUCUGUUAUCUAUCCAUCACCUAUCUACUAUCCAUUCACCCAGAAUGCAUGCAUCCGCCCAUCCAUCCAGCACCCAUGCAUCUGUCUAACCAUCAUUUAUCCACUCACCAUUCAUCUACUGCCUAUCCAUCAUCAUCUAUUCAUCCACCUAGAAUGUAUGUAUCCAUCCAGCCGUCCAGCCAGCACCUAUGCAUUAUCUAUUAUCCAUCCACCAUGUCUAUCCACCCACCCAUCCUUUCAUUAUCCACCAUGAAGAUCUGUGUGGAUGAGAAGCUAUAGAGCUUUCUCUGCUUAUCUACUGUAAGGGUAAACUGCAUCUGUGCCCUUUUAGUUAUGAGACUGGGUCCUCUAUCUCUUGUUCUCCGUGUGGCUGUGACUGACAACACUAAUAAUCCAGCAGUCCCCCUUUGGCCUAUGUUCGGCAGGAAGUACCACUCUGAGUGACACCUGUCCAGAAAUCACUGUAGGUACUGAGAGGCCUAUUAGCCACAGAGAGGAAGGACUCUAACUGAGGAAGACAGUCGUUGGAGGCUGGGCUGAGAGUGAGAGGUAAUUUUCACCUCCAAGGAUCAUGUUUGGAAGAAUGAAAAGGGUCUCUGCCUUUCUUUACACUCUGUUGUUAAAAUCCUUUGAAAGUUUGGCUUCCAGCGGGUGUGUGUUUGGGAGAGGUCAGUUCUCUGCAUGAGGCAUGCUGCCUUACUGAGUUUGGGUUUCUUUGCUUGUAAAUAAUAUCUCACACAUGGAUCAUUAUGGGAAAAAAAGGGUAUUUUACAGAAAUCAUUCUUUCCACAUUACUUAAUUUGCUUCUUGUGGUGGUCUGAAUAUGCUUAGCCCAGGGAGUGUCACUACUAGGAGGUGUGGCCUUGUUGGAGGAAGUGUGUCACUCUUGGGAUAGGCCUUGAGACCCUUCUCCUUGCUGGCUGUGAGACAGUCUUCUCUUGUUUGUUUUUGGAACAAGAUGUAGAGCUCUCAGCUCCUCCAGUGUCAUUCCUGCCUGUACUCUGCCAUGCUUCCCACCAGGAUGACAAUGAACUGAACCCAAGAAUCUGUAAACCAGCCCCAAUCAAAUGUUGUCCUUUAUAAGAGUUGCUUUGGUCAAGGUGUCUCUUUCCACCUUGUCAUUUCUGAUCUUAGUAAAACUGUGACCAGGAUGGAAGUUCUAGAGGAUCCCUGUCAAGAUCUU